UACGGAGGGUGCAAGCGUUAUCCGGAAUCACUGGGCUUAAAGGGUGCGUAGGUGGCUCUGUAAGUCUGUGGUUAAAUCCCCGAGCUUAAUUUGGGAACUGCCGUUGAUACUAUAGAUCUUGAAUAUCGUGGAGGUAAGCGGAAUAUGUCAUGUAGCGGUGAAAUGCUUAGAUAUGACAUAGAACACCAAUUGCGAAGGCAGCUUACUACACGAUCAUUGACACUGAGGCACGAAAGCGUGGGGAGCAAACAGG
rnacentral:rRNA from 1 species